UGCGGUGCCCAGCUGACACGGGUCUGGAGGCUCACACGCGGGACCCGAGCUCUGGAGGAGUAAAUCAUCCCCACUUUAAACCCACCCUCUGCCAGGGCUCCAGUUGGGAACUCCUUGCGUUGCUCUGAACACAUGAGAUUGGGACAAUAGCUGGAGUGGAUUAUUCAUUCCCGUAGGGCAAUACUUCCCUGUAUGGGCUUCAGGAUGCAGUUGGAAGCUUGGGAACAAAGCGGGCAUCGAAUGUCAAGAAAGAUUAAUUUCAUCUCUCCUAUCCUGGGCCCAUUUUCUGUCAGUGAAGGAGUAUAAUAAUGAUCAAUGCCCAGCACUUCUCAUAUCUUUUCUACUUGGAUCCUUUUGAGGAAGAAAUAGUUCUGCUAGGACCCCAUGCCUGGACUUCGGAGGGCAUGGGGCAGUGGUCUGAUAUGAAAGCACUCUCCCUGCAAAUGGAAACUCUCCUCUGCCUUGCAAGAGAAGCAGCGAAGGGACACUGGAAGUAACCGAGCAUCUGGCAUCAAGCCUGACAAUCCACUUCACACUAUGUGAAGGAAAGUUUGUUCCAAACCACAUACUUUGUGGUGCUCAAUACUAGUGUCAAACUGGUUUGAACUGUCCCAGGUCUAAAAUAAAGAUCUCCAUUGUGGUAUGACAGU